UUUUCAGGGCAGUUUGGUCACGGAGGAUUACGACAAUAUUAUAGACUGUAUAACCCUGGGCUUCAUGAAGCAUGGAUUGUGGGGAGAGUUAUAUUGAUCAAAAUGGAAAGAACACUGGAAAGAAUAACAAUAGAUUGGAACAAUUGUGCAGAGACAAAUAUCCUUCUCAGUCACUGGCUUUGUAAUCAGCUUGUUUCAGAAAGCUGAUGAAGAGUGUCCACCAGCCCAAGUACCAGUAAAUUAUCUGGGGAAUACAGGUCUGGCAGCCUGACCUCAGUGCCAGGCAGGUCCUGCUUGACCAACCCGAUCUCAUUCCAUGAUCGAGUUACCCGCCUGGUAGAUGAGGGAAGGGCUGUUGACAUAGUCUACCUGGACUUCAGCAAAGCCUUUGAACUGUGUCCCACAUUUCAAAGAGAAGCUGGCACUCCAUGGCUUGGACAGGUACACUCUCUGCUGUGUAAAGAACUGGAUGUAUGUCUGGGCCCAGAGUGGUGGUGGAUGGAGUUAAAUCCAGCUAGUGACUGGUUAUGAGUGGUGUUUCCCAGGGUCGGUAUUGGGGCCUGUCCUCUUCCAUAUUUUUAUUGAUGAUCAGGAUGAGGGCACUGAGUGACCCUCAGUAAGUUUGCAGUUGACACCACGUUGGCUGGAAGUGUUGAUUGCCUGGGGGUAAGAGGGCCCUACAGAGCAGUCUGGACAUGCUGGAUAGCUGGGCUGAGGCCAAUGUGAUGAGGUUCAACAAGACCAAAUGUCGGGUCCUGCACUUUGGCCACAACAACCCCAGGCAAUGCUGUAGGCUUGGGGCAGAAAGGCUGGAAGACUGUGUAGGGAAAAUGGAUCUGGGGUUGUUGGUCAACGCUCAGCUGAACAUGAGACAGAAGUAUGCCUAAGUGGCCAAGGUGACCAAUGGCAUCCUGGCUUGUAUCAGAAAUAGUGAUGCCAGCAGGAGCAAAGAAAUGAUCACUGCUCUGUGUUCACCACUGGUGAGGCUGCACCUCAAGUACCAUGUUCAGUUUUGGGCCCCUCACUACAGAAAAGAUGUUGAAGCCACAGAUUUUGUCCAGAGAAGGGUACUGAAGCUGGUGAGGAGUCUGGAGCACAAGUCAUAUGGGAAUGGCUGAGGGAACUGGGAUUAUUUAGUCUGGAGAAGAGGAGGCUCAGGGAAGACCUUACCAUUCUCUACAACUACCUGAAGGAAGGUUGUGGUGAGGUGGGGGUUGGCCUUUUCUCUGAUGUAACUAGUGACAAGAUUAGAAGGAGUGGCCUCAAAUUGCACCAGAGGAGAUUCAGGUUGAAUGCUAGGAAAUAAUUCUUUUCAGAGAGAGUGGUCAGGUGCUGGAAUGGGCUGCCCAGGGAGGUGGUAGAAUCGUUGUCCCUGGCGUUGUUCAAGAAACAUUUAGACGUUGUACUGAGGGACAUGGCUUGGUGGGAAAUAUUGGUGACAGGUGGACAGCUGGACUGAAUGAUCUUGGUGGUCUUAUCCAACCUUGGUGAUUCUAUGAUUCUAUGAUUCCAAAUGUGUCUGAGCAUCCUGCACUGUGAAACCUGCAAAGAAGCCUGUACCAACUUUGCUAGAAAGAAAAAGAAUUAAAAAAAAAAAAAAAAAAGGAAGAAGAAGAAUUCAUUUAACUGAAGACUAAGUGCAGGCUUCCAGUUUCACAAUCUUCUGGGUUUGCCAUGGAACCUAAGGCAUGUUUGCUUCCUUUUUGCCCAUGUAUUGGGAUACUCGAGGGACAAGACAUGGGGGGAGAAGGCGUAUGUGAGUCUCCUACAAAAAAUCCUGGAGUCUCCUUCUCAAGAGUGCUGCCAAUAUCUAGAAGAAUCUUGGUAUUCCUAGAAAUACUAAGAAAAUUCCUGGAAAAAAAAAAAGCUUAUUAGGGCUGUCAGGAGGCCAAGAUACCAGAAGCAGUCCCCACAGUCUGUCUGCUGAAC
ensembl:lncRNA